rnacentral:rRNA from 1 species
CCGCGUGAAUGAUGAAGGUCUUAGGAUUGUAAAAUUCUUUCAGCGGGGACGAUAAUGACGGUACCCGCAGAAGAAGCUCCGGCUAACUUCGUGC